rnacentral:rRNA from 1 species
AUUUGUAGAGGGCGCUUCGGGCGCGCGGCCGGCCUAAGUUCCUUGGAACAGGGCGUCAUAGAGGGUGAGAAUCCCGUACGUGGCUGGUCGUCACCCCGUGUGAAGUCCCUUCGACGAGUCGAGUUGUUUGGGAAUGCAGCUCAAAAUGGGUGGUAAAUUCCAUCUAAAGCUAAAUACCGGCCAGAGACCGAUAGCGCACAAGUAGAGUGAUCGAAAGAUGAAAAGCACUUUGAAAAGAGAGUCAAACAGUAUGUGAAAUUGUUGAAAGGGAAGCGCUGGCAACCAGACGUGCCCGCGAGCGAUCACCCGGCCUUUGGGCUGGCGUACUCGACCGCGAUCAGGCCAGCAUCGAUUCGGGCGGUCGGACAAAGGCGCGCGGGAAUGUAGCUCCUCGCGGGGAGUGUUAUAGCCCGCGCCGUCAUGCGGCCAGCCGGGAUCGAGGACCGCGCUUAGGCUAGGAUGCUGGCGUAAUGGUUGUCAGCGACCCGUCUUGAAACACGGACCAAGGAGUCUAACAUCUAUGCGAGUGUUUGGGCGUCAAACCCAUGCGCGGAAUGAAAGUGAACGGAGGUGGGAGCUUCGGCGCACCAUCGACCGAUCCUGAUGUCUUCGGAUGGAUUUGAGUAGGAGCAUAGCUGUUGGGACCCGAAAGAUGGUGAACUAUACGUGAAUAGGGUGAAGCCAGAGGAAACUCUGGUGGAGGCUCGCAGCGGUUCUGACGUGCAAAUCGAUCGUCAAAUUUGCGUAUAGGGGCGAAAGACUAAUCGAACCA